GCAGAGUAUAAAGUACAAACCUUCGAGCUCUUUUCACGAGUUGUUUAGUCGUUCUGGGGGCUAUAAUACUGAAUUUGACAAACACCGCAACAGCAAAAACAAGUUCAGAGGAGAAAAGUGCGAUGAGCAUGUGAAGCCCACGGCCCCUGUGGAACCUGUCUCAGCAUCUCUGCCUGUGUCAGAGAGCCAUGCAAUCUCAGCAAAUGUGACACAAAAGGCCAGGUCUACUCCUCUUCUCCAUCCCUCCCAUUAAAGACAUUCAGCAGAAAAAGAUGGCCAGCAGAGAAGAAAGAAAACAAGACAGAGCUGGACACGACUCAGAACAAAAUGCCAGGCCAACUUCUCUUCUAGCUGGCUUGGCCUCGGUAAAUUUGACACAAAAAUGCAGUUCGACUGUUCUUCUGCAUUCCUCUGAUCAAGGAAGUGCAGCAGAAGCAGACAGAGAAAGCCAACAAGCUAGUGGUGAAGAAAAGCAGCAGAGGCAGCUAAGACUUGAGACUGUUAUUCUACAAGACACGUAAAAUCACUAAAACACUCUAAAAAAAAGUAAUAAAUAAUAAAUAAAAUACAAUUUUUAGAGUGGAAGGUGGUGAGAUGAAUUCUAUGGAAAUUUUUAUAAACGUACAAAUUUUAAAUGACCAACUAUAAAGAGCAAACUUCAAAAGCAACAUCUAAAAAAAUAUGUGUGUGUCUGUGUGUAGGCAAGUAGACAGACAGGCAGGUCUGCAGGAGAUAAUCCUCACCCUUGCAUACAGAACAGUGGACAGGUCAGAUGAAAGUAGAAAGGAUUCAGACAGCAUGUUGCAGAA